rnacentral:rRNA from 1 species
UACAGGGGGGGCAAGCGUUGUUCGGAAUUACUGGGCGUAAAGGGCCAGUAGGCGGCCAACUAAGUCCGACGUGAAAUCCCCAGGCUUAACCUGGGAACUGCGUCGGAUACUGGAUGGCUUGAAUUCGGGAGAGGGAUGCAGAAUUCCAGGUGUAGCGGUGAAAUGCGUAGAUAUCUGGAGGAAUACCGGUGGCGAAGGCGGCAUCCUGGACCGAGACUGACGCUGAGGCGCGAAAGCGUGGGGAGCAAACAGG